rnacentral:rRNA from 1 species
GACGAACGCUGGCGGCGUGCUUAACACAUGCAAGUCGAACGGUGAAGGGACCGGUUUUUGCUGGUUCUGGAUGAGUGGCGAACGGGUGAGUAACACGUGAGUAACCUGCCCCCUUCUUCUGGAUAACCGCAUGAAAGUGUGGCUAAUACGGGAUAUUCUGCGCCUGCUGCAUGGUGGGUGUGGGAAAGAUAUUGUUUCGGUGGGGGAUGGGCUCGCGGCCUAUCAGCUUGUUGGUGGGGUGAUGGCCUACCAAGGCGGUGACGGGUAGCCGGCCUGAGAGGGUGGACGGUCACACUGGGACUGAGACACGGCCCAGACUCCUACGGGAGGCAGCAGUGGGGAAUAUUGCACAAUGGGCGCAAGCCUGAUGCAGCGACGCCGCGUGAGGGAUGGAGGCCUUCGGGCUGUAAACCUCUUUCGCCAGUGAAGCAGGCCUGUCCCUUGUGUGGGUGGGUUGACGGUAGCUGGAUAAGAAGCGCCGGCUAACUACGUG